rnacentral:rRNA from 1 species
AACGAACGCUGGCGGCAUGCCUAACACAUGCAAGUCGAACGAGACCUUCGGGUCUAGUGGCGCACGGGUGCGUAACGCGUGGGAACCUGCCCUUAGGUUCGGAAUAACUCCCCGAAAGGGGUGCUAAUACCGGAUAAUGUCUUCGGACCAAAGAUUUAUCGCCUUUGGAUGGGCCCGCGUUGGAUUAGCUAGUUGGUAGGGUAAAAGCCUACCAAGGCGACGAUCCAUAGCUGGUCUGAGAGGAUGAGCAGCCACACUGGGAGUGAGACACGGCCCAGACUCCUACGGGAGGCAGCAGUGGGGAAUAUUGGACAAUGGGCGAAAGCCUGAUCCAGCAAUGACGCGUGAGUGAUGAAGGCCUUAGGGUUGUAAAGCUCUUUUACCCGGGAUGAUAAUGACAGUACCGGGAGAAUAAGCUCCGGCUAACUCCGUG